AGUGAACGCUGGCGGUAGGCCUAACACAUGCAAGUCGAACGGCAGCACCGUAAGAGCUUGCUCUUACGGGUGGCGAGUGGCGGACGGGUGAGGAAUACAUCGGAAUCUACUUUUUCGUGGGGGAUAACGUAGGGAAACUUACGCUAAUACCGCAUACGACCUACGGGUGAAAGCAGGGGAUCUUCGGACCUUGCGCGAUUGAAUGAGCCGAUGUCGGAUUAGCUAGUUGGCGGGGUAAAGGCCCACCAAGGCGACGAUCCGUAGCUGGUCUGAGAGGCUGAUCAGCCACACGGGAACGGAAACACGGUCCAGACUCCUACGAGAGGCAGCAGUGGGGAAUAUUGGACAAUGGGCGCAAGCCUUAUCCAGCCAUACCGCGUGGGUGAAGAAGGCCUUCGGGUUGUAAAGCCCUUUUGUUGGGAAAGAAAAGCAGCAGGUUAAGACCCCGCUGUUCUGACGGUACCCAAAGAAUAAGCACCGGCUAACUUCGUG
rnacentral:rRNA from 1 species